AGAAUUUGAUCUUGGUCAGGACGAACGCUGGCGGCGUGCUUAACACAUGCAAGUCGAACGAGGAUUAUGUUGGAGGGGCUUCGGCCUGGAAGAUGUAAUUCGAGUGGCGGACGGGUGAGUAACGCGUGAACAAUCUGUCCCGGACAGGGGAAUAACACUUGGAAACAGGUGCUAAUACCGCAUAAGACCACGCCCUCGCAUGGGGGAGGGGUAAAAGGAGCAAUCCGGUUCGGGGUGAGUUCGCGUCCGAUUAGAUAGUUGGUGAGGUAACGGCCCACCAAGUCGACGAUCGGUAGCCGACCUGAGAGGGUGAUCGGCCACAUUGGAACUGAGAGACGGUCCAAACUCCUACGGGAGGCAGCAGUGGGGAAUAUUGGGCAAUGGGCCGAAAGCCUGACCCAGCAACGCCGCGUGAGUGAAGAAGGCUUUCGGGUUGUAAAGCUCUGUUAUAGGGGACGAAGGAAGUGACGGUACCCUAUAAGGAAGCCCCGGCUAACUACGUGCCAGCCGCCGC
rnacentral:rRNA from 1 species